rnacentral:rRNA from 1 species
AUGGCGGCCUUCACCACCACCGCCGCCGCCGCCCCCGCCGCCUACGCCGUCGCCCGCUCGCCCGCACCGAGCCCCUCGCAGUGGGCACCAACCCGCCGCUCACCGCCGGCCGUCGGGCUCCGGCGAGCGGCCGCGCCGCCUCGCCGGGGAGCCGCGCUCCUGGUCAAAGCUAAGAAGGAAACAUUUUCUACCUUCGACGAGUUAUUGGAGAAGUCUGAAAAGCCUUUACUGGUCGACUUCUAUGCAACUUGGUGUGGUCCGUGCCAAUACAUGGUUCCCAUACUUCAAGAAGUGCAUGAGAAGAUGAGUGACAAGAUUAACAUUGUGAAAAUUGAUACAGAGAAAUAUACAAGCAUUGCAAAUAAGUAUAAAAUUGAAGCAUUACCAACUUUCAUUAUCUUCAAGGACGGGGAACCUUGUUAUCGCUUUGAGGGAGCGUUGCCUGCUGACCAGCUAAUCCUGCAGAUUGAGAGUGCUUUAGAAGCUCCAAAGUAG